GACCACUCGCACAUGGGUUUGUUAUGGUGUGGACUUUGACACUGUAGUAGUUUCGCUUCGCUAUUGUUAUGCAGAGCUUCUUACCAGCGCUAUGACUACAAUUUAAAAUCCUUCUAAAUUAAGUUUUAUCUUAAAAAGUUGCUAAUCUCUGACAAUGGAGAUCCACUAGUAUGGAGUGCAAUAAUUUUGCAUACAAAUCCACAGGCCAUUAAGUACGUACAUUACAGAUAUCUUCAAAGCGGUUCUGAUGUUAUAACAACAGUCACAUAUCAGGCCAGCAUUGAGGGGUUUGUAAAAUAUCUUGAUCUCCGUCCCGAGAAGGCUCAGCAGUUGAUAAUGUCAGGGGUUCAACUGGCAAAAGAGACAGUCCAUGAGUUCAUGUCUCACGUGUACAGUGUAAUCUAAAAAAAAAUGAGUAAUUCCCCCAGAAGACAGAAGAGAGCCUGUGGUUGCAGGUUCAGUGGGUCCAUAUGGGGCAUUUUUACAUGAUGGGUCAGAGUACACAGGAGCCUAUGAGGACAAGAUGACAGUGGAGGAGUUGAAAGACUGGCACCGUCCGCAGAUUCAGUGCUUAGUAAAAGCCGGAGCUGAUCUUGUUGCCAUGGAGACCCUUCCAGGUCUCAGAGGCGGAGACUUUGGUGGAAGUACUCAGAGAAUUUGUUGAAGCUAAAGCCAGGGUUUCCUUUUCUUAUAAGGUGACUGAUACAUUGCAUUAUAUGAUAUGUUAUCUUAUGCCAAAUUUCAUUCAUAAAACACUUGCAACUGUUUAUGCUCAUGAGGUAGACAUUGCUACUAAUGCAGUUCAUGUGUUUCCUGACAUUCAUAAUAUUUCAAGCGGGAGGAGAUUAUCUGAGGUGGUUCAGGUGGCUUGUAGGUCCUCACAGCUGGUGGCCGUAGGGGUGAACUGUUGUCCUGCUCCGUUAGUGAAACUGCUUCUAGAGUCAGCCAAGUCACACAAGAAAGCAGAUUUGAGCUGGGUGGUCUAUCCUAACAGUGGAGAAGAAUGGGACCCCAAGACAGGAUGGAAAACUAAAAAAGGACGUCAUUUGCCAAACUAAAUCUCGACUGGAAAGAAUGAGGGGCUUUGUGGAUUGUUGGCUGCUGCCGUGUUGGUCCUGCUGAUAUAACUGAGCUGAAAGAACAACUACAUGUGUAGCCAUGACUCAUCAAGCACCAUGACAUCAUUUAGUUGAUUCUGAAAUAAUGCAGUGAUGUGUAAGAAGAUGUAUAAAGAUUUUAU